UUUCCGUAGGUGAACCUGCGGAAGGAUCAUUAUUGAACAACCUGGUGUUGGCUGAGCUGGCCUUUUCGGAGGCAUGUGCACGGCCCACCAUUGUUUCAUCCUUCUCUUCCACCUGUGCACUUCAGUGGGCCCACUCCAGCACGCAUCUCGUGCGCUGGACUCUGGUGCCUACGUUUUACUAUCCACACCUUUGAAUGUUUAGAAUGCAUGAAURGGGCACUCUUGCCCAUAAAACCUUAUACAACUUUCAACAACGGAUCUCUUGGCUCUCGCAUCGAUGAAGAACGCAGCGAAAUGCGAUAAGUAAUGUGAAUUGCAGAAUUCAGUGAAUCAUCGAAUCUUUGAACGCACCUUGCGCUCCUUGGCAUUCCGAGGAGCAUGCCUGUUUGAGUGUCAUUAAAUCAUCAACCAACUCAGCUUUUGCGGAGGGGGUUGGAUGUGGAGGUUCUGCUGGCCCCUCUCCGGGACCGGCUCCUCUGAAACGCAUGAGCAGUGGCCCAGCUUCUGCCGCCUUGUGUGAUAGUUAUCUACACUCGGCGCGGUUGCGACUUUGCCUCAGCUUCGAGUCUGUCUGCUCGCGCAGGCAGCUCACCUUAUUGACUCUUGACCUCAAAUCAGGUAGGACUACCCGCUGAACUUAAGCAUAU
rnacentral:rRNA from 1 species